UCCUUUGCCGAUUCUCCCGAGGAUGACGUCGUGCAGACUAAUGUAGCCGGAUUCGUCUGUGUGACCAAUGUGGAUGUCGAGAGGCAGACGUUUACGGUACUCAGCCCGCAACCUAGACCACUACCGAAUACAGUGCUAUUAUUGUCGGAUAUACAAUUUAUGGAUAGCCAUUAAAGAUAUAGAUAUUUUUCUAUUAUUAAAUAUUAUAAAUGUGAUAGAGGUAAACACAGCGAAAUAAAAUCUUUUCUAAUAACAUUAUAAAUUUUUACCUGGCGCUCACGUGACGUUUACGAGUUUAAGCUGCAAAAAUGAAUCAUGUAACAUCUUAUAAAAAUAUUUUAUAAGCA